GGUUGGUCCAGGUGCAGUGGUGUUUACAACUAAUCGAUCACAAGUAGUAGUAGAUUUCUUUGUUCCUUCUCUACUCACACUGUUUCACUUGGCUGACUUUUA
rnacentral:Y_RNA from 1 species